rnacentral:lncRNA from 1 species
UGUAGAAGAAGUGAUUUUUCAGUUGGCCGACUUUGUCGUCGAAAUCCAGACGGUUCUUGAGUGAAUCUUCCCCAAUUUGUAGUCCACCAAAAUAUUGUAAGUUAAUCUAUGUUGUUUUCUAUUGUUAUUGUUUGAAAUCGUAUAUGAUGGAUGACUAUGUGCAUGAAGAAAUUUUGGAAUGUAAGUUAGUCUCUUAUUUUUUUUUCUUUUUUCUAUUGUUAUUAUUUUGUUGUUCUUUUGUUAUUGUAUGAAAUCUUAUGUGAUGGAGGACACUCUAAAAAUAUAUUUGUAAUACAAAUGGUCAUAUUUUAUGUUAUUUUUUAUUGGCUAGAAAUAUAUAUAGAAAUGGAGUUGAUGUAUAUCCUGACGAAAUGAGAAGCUGAAUGAUAUUCUUUUAUGUUGUAUUUUUUUGUGCGAUUAAAGCAUAAGAUAAAUCUGGUAAUUUUGUUGUGUUUGUUACAAUGUGUAGUUUUAGUGGUGUUCGAUUUGAAUGUACCUGAUGUUGAUGAUUUGAAAUUUUAUAAUAAUAUUUUGAAUGAUGAAAAUCUUG